rnacentral:rRNA from 1 species
CACGUAGGGGGCGAGCGUUGUCCGGAUUUAUUGGGCGUAAAGAGCUCGUAGGCGGCUCAGUAAGUCAGGUGUGAAAACUCCAGGCUCAACCUGGAGACGCCAUCUGAUACUGCUGUGGCUAGAGUCCGGUAGGGGAGCAUGGAAUUCCUGGUGUAGCGGUGAAAUGCGUAGAGAUCGGGAGGAACACCGGCGGCGAAGGCGGCUGCCUGGACCAGUCCUGACGCUGAGGCGCGAAAGCUAGGGGAGCAAACAGG